GUAAGUUGUGAAAGUAUGAUUGUUAGAUUAAUGCACGUUAAACCUACAGUUGUUUUUAUACAGUAUAAUUUAUGCAAUGUGUAUUACAAUAGUGGCUUGUCACCUUCCUUCCCGCCUGAGCCCUCAGUGGAGGAUUCAUAAUGCCCAUAAAACCUAGCGGUCAAGCAGGGAAAUGGUUCCAAUCGUUUUUCCCAUAAGGGAUUUGAGAAACACUUAAAAUAAGGGCUGCAAGCUCCUGGACAUUAUCUCCAGCUGGAACCUUUGCAAACAGACAUGAGCAUCUCAUUGUAUACAGAUUUGUCUCCUCUCCUCAAUUCAAUUUCGAGAGGAAGAGAGGCCCAACUCAGUGGAAAAUCUGUCUUCCUCCAGUCUGCAAUAAGGAGUCCAACAGACAAUGUGAUGUCCCCAUGUACAAGACAGCUCAUGAAGAAAGCUAUCAAGGACAUACCGUCAUCUCCCAGACCCAGACGGGAAGCAAAAGAGAACACUGCAAAUAAAUGAAUUACCUUUUUAUGUACAGUGUGAUGUCUUUACGGUAUUCCUCUCUCUGCUAAGAUGGGCAGAUAAAUUAAUCAUUGACAUUUUCCUGACAUUCUACCGUCUUUUUAAUAUGUUCUUACUAACCAAGCUGCUCACACUUUAUUGAUCCAUUAU
rnacentral:lncRNA from 1 species